rnacentral:rRNA from 1 species
UACGGAGGGGGCAAGCGUUGUUCGGAAUUACUGGGCGUAAAGGGCUCGUAGGCGGCCAACUAAGUCGGAUGUGAAAUCCCCAGGCUUAACUUGGGAACUGCAUCCGAUACUGGAUGGCUUGAGUCCGGGAGAGGGAUGCGGAAUUCCAGGUGUAGCGGUGAAAUGCGUAGAUAUCUGGAGGAACACCGGUGGCGAAGGCGGCAUCCUGGACCGGCAUUGACGCUGAUGAGCGAAAGCCAGGGGAGCAAACGGG